GAUUGAUCCUGGCUCAGAUUGAACGCUGGCGGCAUGCUUUACACAUGCAAGUCGAACGGCAGCGCGGGGCAACCUGGCGGCGAGUGGCGAACGGGUGAGUAAUAUAUCGGAACGUACCCAAGAGUGGGGGAUAACGUAGCGAAAGUUACGCUAAUACCGCAUACGAUCUAAGGAUGAAAGCAGGGGAUCUUCGGACCUUGUGCUCCUGGAGCGGCCGAUAUCUGAUUAGCUAGUUGGUGAGGUAAAGGCUCACCAAGGCUACGAUCAGUAGCUGGUCUGAGAGGACGACCAGCCACACUGGAACUGAGACACGGUCCAGACUCCUACGGGAGGCAGCAGUGGGGAAUUUUGGACAAUGGGCGAAAGCCUGAUCCAGCAAUGCCGCGUGAGUGAAGAAGGCCUUCGGGUUGUAAAGCUCUUUUGUCAGGGAAGAAACGGUUUGGGCUAAUAUCCUGGGCUAAUGACGGUACCUGAAGAAUAAGCACCGGCUAACUACGUGCCAGCAGCCGCGGUAAAAU
rnacentral:rRNA from 1 species